CAGUAGCAAUAACGGAUAUAAAAAUAAUGGAAGUAACUUCCGUCCCCAUAGAUUUCAAUGUUUAAAGCAUAAUAGAAGUCAUUUUCCAGAUAUUGAUUACCUGCUAGGCGCUGACGGCUUGCCAGCUCUCGCUGCCAAUGUUCAGAGUACAUUCCCUAAAUGGUGGUUGCCAAGGUGCGCAGCCAAUGAGACUGAGCAGGUUACCAAAGUCAGCCACAUAAUAUCUGCUUUUUUUUGUAGAACUAUAAGGGAAAAACAUCAGAAGCUAGGUUACCUCAUAGUAAAGAGAUAGAAAAAUAUCCACAGGAAAAAUCCCUAUGGAAAUGUUCCAUGGACCUGCCACCUAAAGAAUGCUUCACUGCAUAGAUCAAUAAGGAGCCGGCUGAUGUCUGGUAUUUUGUACACAGUAAUGAAAUAAAGGUGGUGCGGUUAGCAGAGGCCCUGAUUGGUGUGUUGCAUUAUUUUUAUGUAAAUGUACCCCAGUGAGCAGCGUGGGAGCUUUUGACCCUUUUUUGCUCUAUCCAGGAUCUUCCAUCAUGUGCGCAAAUUUAUGAAGUGACGUGUGCCACAUAAAAAAAACUUGGCUCAGCAACUGGGAAAGCAUGAAGGUUCUUCUUUGUGCAAAA